rnacentral:rRNA from 1 species
GACGAACGCUGGCGGCGUGCUUAACACAUGCAAGUCGAACGGUGAAGCGCCUUCCUUUUUGGUUGGUGUGGAGGAGUGGCGAACGGGUGAGUAACACGUGAGUAACCUGCCCCCUGCUUCUGGAUAACCGCAUGAAAGUGUGGCUAAUACGGGAUAUUCUGGGUCUGUCGCAUGAUGGGUCUGGGAAAGAUGUUGUGUCUGGGGGGGAUGGGCUCGCGGCCUACCAGCUUGUUGGGGUGGUGAUGGGCUACGAAGGCGGUGACGGGUAGCCGGCCUGAGAGGGUGGACGGCCAGAGUGGGACUGCGACACGGCCGAGACUCCUACGGGAGGCAGACGCGGGGAAUAUGGCACAGUGGGCGAAAGCGUGAAGCAGCGGCGAGGCGUGAGCGAUGGAGGCCUGCGGGUUGUGAACCUCUUUGGGCAGUGAAGCAGGCCUGCCUGGUUUGUGGGUGGGUUGACGGUAGCUGGAUAAGAAGCGCCGGCUAACUACGUG